CCUACGGGAGGCAGCAGUGAGGAAUAUUGGUCAAUGGGCGUAAGCCUGAACCAGCCAAGUCGCGUGAGGGAUGAAGGUUCUAUGGAUCGUAAACCUCUUUUAUAAGGGAAUAAAGUGUGGGACGUGUCCUGUUUUGUAUGUACCUUAUGAAUAAGGAUCGGCUAACUCCGUGCCAGCAGCCGCGGUAAUACGGAGGAUCCGAGCGUUAUCCGGAUUUAUUGGGUUUAAAGGGUGCGUAGGCGGCCUUUUAAGUCAGCGGUGAAAGUCUGUGGCUCAACCAUAGAAUUGCCGUUGAAACUGGGAGGCUUGAGUAUGUUUGAGGCAGGCGGAAUGCGUGGUGUAGCGGUGAAAUGCGUAGAUAUCAGGAGGAACACCGGUGGCGAAGGCGGCCUGCUGGACUGCAACUGACGUUGAGGCCCGAAAGCGUGGGGAGCAAACAGGAUUAGAUACCCCUGUAGUC
rnacentral:rRNA from 1 species